rfam:Triticum aestivum genome assembly, contig: Triticum_aestivum_CS42_TGACv1_scaffold_502558_6BL
UUGCACCUGUGUGUUGUAUUGUCCUACUUUCUUGCCAUGCUAGUAGGAUAUAACACUGGUGCAGAAAGGAAAAGCUGCUCCUUGGAGCAGCAGCGGCCAGACAACCGUAGAGAUAGAUCCACAGAUGAAUGGCUAACAUGCUGUUUGUCUACUAAAUCUAUCCCACAUUU